rnacentral:misc_RNA from 1 species
AACGCACGAGACCUGCGGACCUGCGGAAGGAUCAUUAUUGAAAUCCUUCCAAGGAUGUUGCUGGUCCUUAGGGACAUGUGCACUCCGCCUUUCUAUACACCUGUGAACUUAUUGUAGGUGCAGAUGUAACAAGUCUGUUACCUAUGUUUUUUAACACACCCUUUUAAAAUGUAUAAUGGAAUGUUGAUGGAUAAUAAUAACAAUACAACUUUCAACAAUGGAUCUCUAGAUCGGAAGAGC